AAGGAAUAUUGGUCAAUGGACGCAAGUCUGAACCAGCCAUGCCGCGUGAAGGAUGAAGGUCCUCUGGAUUGUAAACUUCUUUUAUCUGGGACGAAAACGGGAUUUUUAUCUCAAUUGACGGUACCAGAGGAAUAAGCACCGGCUAACUCCGUGCCAGCAGCCGCGGUAAUACGGAGGGUGCGAGCGUUAUCCGGAUUUACUGGGUUUAAAGGGUGCGUAGGUGGGCUUAUAAGUCAGUGGUGAAAUCUCCGAGCUUAACUUGGAAACUGCCGUUGAUACUAUAGGUCUUGAAUUAUCUGGAGGUAAGCGGAAUAUGUCGUGUAGCGGUGAAAUGCUUAGAUAUGACAUAGAACACCAAUUGCGAAGGCAGCUUACUACAUAUAAAUUGACGCUGAGGCACGAAAGCGUGGGGAUCAAACA
rnacentral:rRNA from 1 species